AAAUUGAAGAGUUUGAUCAUGGCUCAGAUUGAACGCUGGCGGCAGGCCUAACACAUGCAAGUCGAGCGGUAGCACAGAGAGCUUGCUCUCGGGUGACGAGCGGCGGACGGGUGAGUAAUGUCUGGGAAACUGCCUGAUGGAGGGGGAUAACUACUGGAAACGGUAGCUAAUACCGCAUAACGUCGCAAGACCAAAGUGGGGGACCUUCGGGCCUCAUGCCAUCAGAUGUGCCCAGAUGGGAUUAGCUAGUAGGUGGGGUAACGGCUCACCUAGGCGACGAUCCCUAGCUGGUCUGAGAGGAUGACCAGCCACACUGGAACUGAGACACGGUCCAGACUCCUACGGGAGGCAGCAGUGGGGAAUAUUGCACAAUGGGCGCAAGCCUGAUGCAGCCAUGCCGCGUGUGUGAAGAAGGCCUUCGGGUUGUAAAGCACUUUCAGCGGGGAGGAAGGCGUUAAGGUUAAUAACCUUGGCGAUUGACGUUACCCGCAGAAG
rnacentral:rRNA from 1 species